UAAUGUUGAGUUGAUGUUGGGAUAAUGUUGGGAUAAUGUUGGGAUAAUGUUGGGAUAAUGUUGAGCUAAUAUUGAGAUAAUGUUGAGAUAAUGUUGAGUUGCUGUUGAGAUAAUGUUGAUGUGAUGUUGGGAUAAUGUUGAGAUAAUGUUGAGUUGCUGUUGAGAUAAUGUUGAUGUGAUGUUGAUAUAAUGUUGAGGUGACGUUGACCCAGUUCAGUUCUUCACAUUGAUCAGUCCAGUUUCUGACCUCUCUCUGUGUUGCCCCUGAUCACUGUACAUUGUUUCAUCAACAGUCAGUGACUAACACCUCACACGGCUGCCGUGAAAAGUCUGCAAACGUGAAUUGAUUCACGCUGCAGUCACUAAACUCUUGACGGUGUCCUCUCACACCGCGUUCUACCUGUGUGUGAAUAAUGUCUCUGUUUAUGAACGGUGGGAGUCGGGAGAUGGGAAGACUGAUGAGGUCAUCCAGAGCCGGAGCGGUGAAGGUCACCUGUUCACACGAACACUCCCCGAAAGAUUCCUCACAUUCCUGAGCUUCACAAAGAUUCUGCUCUGAAGAAGUAAGAAACAGGGAGGCCUUUGUGUGUGUGUGUGUGUGUGUGUGUGUGUGUUUGAUGUACACGUCAGCAUCAGAUCACGUGUGUCAUUUUUCUCUGAAGUAGUUGCUAGUUUUCCUAAAAACUAAGAUCACAGGUUGGUGAGUUGCAGUCGUCGUUUCAGGUUCAGGACGUCUGUGUUGUUGCCUUGUUGUGAUGACAAGGCAACAAUAAAUUGGCGCCACGUAUUUUGCUGGCAGGAAGUAAUGAAGCGCCUCAUUACAGGCUUACUCAUCAUUACACAGCUACUUACAGGAGCUCUUUGUGCAAAGCACUUGUUUACGCUGGUCGUUUUGUUAGCUUUCAUGAGUUAACUUAAUUAACGUUAACGAUUGUCACAUCAAAUGCGUAGCGGGAAUAUUUGAAUAUUCAGGUCAGUCUUAGAACAAAUCUUAUCGCACGUUCAUGUAAAUGUAGCUAUAAAAACGUAUGUUGUAUUGUAUGUUUUUAUGACCUGUGGUAUAACAUCAUAGAACCGUUAAUUUAUGUCGACUUUCUGAAAACAUUUCUCUUGUACAGUACGUAUCGCUGUGGUUUUCUUGGUUAACAUGCAAAUCCCAGCUGGCUGACGAGUCAUGUGAUCUGAGGGUUACGUGUAUUUUUAGCUGCUUGUGACUCAGCCCUAACAACGUGUUUUACUUCAGUGUCCAAUCAGUAAACGCUGGUAACGUUUUGUAAAAUAAUAAAACUCAUGCCGUGCCUUUCGACCACAGGUUUUGUCAUACAGUAUUUAAUAUAAAUAUUUAGUAUUUAAUAUAAUAUAAAACGCUUUUGCUUGUGAUUUUUAAGGCGUUUGGUGCUAAUCUCUUGUGCAGUGCUAGCAUUUUGCUUCUGCUAAUGCUAAUGCUAACGUGAACAAAUUUUCUCCCAAAACUCAUAGGCUGACAGAACAAUAUUCAGAUAUUAAAUAUAUUACAAUAUUAUUGAAUAAACAAAACAUACUCCAGGAUAGUUUAAAUGUUUUAUUGUUUUUUGUUUGUUUUUUUCCCUCCGAUUGUGGUUUCAACUGGUUCAGAACUUCUGUACAGAUGUCUCUUGUUGUUGGUGGACACUUGAUGGGAUUCGUUUUAGUAAGAGUUCACCACACCCAAACGUCAGAGGAGAUCAGAUGAUCAGUCAAACGGUAGAAGACGUUCACCAAGUGCCAGUUCGCCCUCUGGUCCCAUCUGAAUGAAUAUUGCGCUCGAGUUUCAUUUCAUCGAGUUACCCUUAUUCCUUGCGUCCUCUCGCGUCUUUGUCGCAGCACAGAACAGCCCGAAGCAAUUUUAUUGCCGUUUCAAUUCGUGAACUCACACAUUGCUUCAUUGUCAAGAUAUGCAGAUCCAUCAGCGUGGUUUCUCACCAGCUGUUAUCACGGAAGACUGAUAAAUAUGUGCACGGAAAGUUCCACCCGUUGUGACUUUUCGAGGUAAAUAAAAAUUUUAGUUUUGGAAUUUGGAGCCACUUUGUUCAACGGUGUGGAGAUAACGUUGUUGGUUUUACCUGCCGUGCAGCAAACGGUUUCAUCUUUGAGAACACAGUGACCUGAACUUGGACCGGAGCUGUGAUAAGGAACUGUAACUGGUGUUUGGUGACGAGGUCAGAGGUCACACUGCUGUGAUCCGUCAUGUCAUUUCAUCCUGAAAAACAGACAUGAAGUCACUGCUGCGGUGAUUUUUUUUUUUUUUUUUUUUGUGUGUCUGGUUUGAUGUUCGACUGGCUCACAAUUAUAAUCUGUCUCCACAUUCAUUUUCUGGAACCGCCCUCUCUGUCAUUAGCGUUAGCUGCUCUCAGCUAGAAGAAUGCUGAGCUCUGUGUUUUAUUGUCCUAAAUCACAUGUUGGAGGAGCCUGUAGCGAUGUUGUGCUUACAUUAAACAGGCGCUAACAGGUCUGAAUAUUUUUCAGGCUCCUCCACAGAUUUUAAUGGGAUUUGAUUUGUAGCUUAAACCAUCUGCAGAUUUGUCCGUUAUAAAAAAUAAUUAUUUAUAUGAUUUAUUUAUUUUUUUUGUCUAAUGCAGUGAUUGCCGUAGGAGGUCGUCAGGUGUAGCAUGGAAAAUGAUUUCACUCAGCUGGUCUGACAGCUAUUUUUAUUUACUGCAAAUAGUGACAGUGACAGGCAGAAUAAUUAAACACCGGGGCGGGGUCCCUGACUUAUGUCAGAGUUCCUACUGUACAUCAGAGUCACUCACGUAGGCUAUCAGUGAUAAAAUCGUAAUCUAGGACAUAAAAAAAAAUCAGGAGAGUCUGACCUAUGCCUUGGAGCCAUAAUGAAGGGCAAAAAGUUCCCAAAAAAGCAACACAGGAAAUGGAAUGCAAAUGUAAACAAAGCUAGUUCCCGUGUGAACUGUCGAUGUGCGGAAUAAAAGAACAAGACGUUCUUGAUAAACUCAUUUGAGACGGAGACAUAACCACAAAACGCCAUAGGUCCAGGACGCCGUAAACAGAGAACUUUCACCAGGUGGCAGCAGAUGGCUAUAAAGGCUAAAAAAAAUGAGAAGAUAUUUGAGUCUUUCUUCAAUUCCUGCCAGUAUGUCAGUAAUGUGUUCAAAUAAACAGGCUCAGUGAAUGUGUGUAAAUGUAAUUUAGAUCUUUAUAUUUCAUUACAUAUACUUAAAGUUUCUUUAGUGGUGGGCUGUGGGAUUUUUCUGAUGUAAAAUCUAGUGGCUCAGAAAGAUCGUAUUGUCCGACUGUGAGAAGCAGUUUAGCUGAGUCCGUCACAUGAUGCAGGCGUAUCUGUUACCCGUUGUCCGUGUCACGACACACUUCUCCCUUCCGUCCCGUCGUCCGUCUUCCUCUCUUUCCUUUCGUCGGUGACGUGAAUAUUUCAAUUAUUAAAAGCCGAGAGUGUAAAUACAGUCGGUAACUGUUCCCACUGUUACACUCGUGUAUUCAGUUGUGUUUGUGCUGAUUACAGAGGCUUAGACACCUGGUAGACUGAGAGCUGGAGCCAAUGUCUCAGCGUGGCAAUGCAAAAGAGGAGAGAGGGGCAAGUUAAGGCAGGGAAGAGGGGUGUGUACGGGAUAUUUGCAUCUGGGUGAUUCCCAUGAGGCAGUUCAAGAAAGUCGCAAAACACUAAUUCGCUGCUGGCUGUGCUGAUGAAUUUGGACUUUUUGACUUUUGUUUUUUUAUGGAAAUCCAAGCUGUGUUCCAGGAGGAAAUGAUCUCCUCGGGUCCAGUCCGUUAGAACUGUCUGUGUCUGUGAGUCAGUUCUUCACACCAGUCAGACGUCAGUCCUCUCUAAUCCAGGGGUUCUCAACUCCUGGUCUGUGGACCGGUACCGGUCCAUGGGUCAUUUAGUACAGGGCCGCAGUGAAAUAUUUCACAAUUUACUUCGUUCAAAGUAUCUGCUAAUGUCCAUUUACGUUUGUCAUAUAAGAUACUGUACCUGGUGAGUAUUUCAAAAAAAUACUAAUGUAAUACUAAAUAAGGAUAGGAGAAUAAAGCCUUUAAAUCCUUUAACUACCGGUUCGCAAACCAGUUGGUUCAGGCUAACCCAGGUGUGGGCAAAUUUUGUGACUCGCCGGCUACUGGAACCUAAAAUUUGACGGGGCGGUUGAGGCCAGGUCAGGAGCAGAGAUGUAAACUACGAUAAAUGAAGUCAUGAAUAAAGGUUAAAAUGCUAAAAUGCUUCCUGCUUUUUCUACACCAUCUAUUGGGCAAAGGCGAGCAUUGCAGGCAAGAGACAUAAGUAUAAUGAUAAUAUAAAUGACUGAUGUAUUUUGGACAAAUUUGCUGGGUUGGAUUCAAAGGUCAAACAAAGGAUCGCUGCACUAAAUGAACGCCGAACUUGCAUUCUGAAAAUGUUCGUAUUUUUGUUUCCUUUUCAAACUUCGUUGAUCUUCAGUUUACAAAACACGACUUCUGAAGAUUUUGUUAUUUUAAAACAGCCGUCUCCUCUCACUUCAAGUCCAAAUAAACUGUGUUAUUGCAGCAGUAGUAAUGGAGAAAACAAAGUCGAUAUUUGUACGUUAGCGCUACUGUUUGAUUGGCUAAUAAUUGACAAAUAAGGAAAACUCUGCUUUUUAAGGUGGGAAUAUUAGAAAAAGAAAACAACAGGGACACGUUAGCGAUGUCGCUGGUAGUUUUGAAAAAGCUUUUUUAUGGAAUAGUUUGGACACCACUUAUUAUGGGUGUAUUUGAAGGGUUUAUUUCUUCAGUAAAAACAGGUCAGAAAAACACAAAAAGAAAGAACGAGCUAAUGUAUACAGUGAACUGAGCCAACAGUUUCCAAACACAGCACUUCAGAGGCUCAUGACUCAUGACCUCAUUGUUACUAAGUGUAUUGGGUGUGUUGUGGAAUUUUUUUUUCUUCUUCUUCUUCUUCUUCUGUAGUUACAAAGGAGUUCAGUUUUUUGCAGCAGCACGUCGUUCAAUUUUGGAAGUAUGAAUACAAUUAGAUCCUGUUGUAAUUAUGAAUAAAAUGAUCGUGGGUGUAAGAAAACAUUCGAAUGGACAGUGUCUGCAGGGAGUUCAACAUGUGACGACAGACACAGUUUGUCAAACUGAUACGUUUUAUCUGAUUAGAUCCAAACGUUCGUACGUCAGCAGAAAACACCACAAAGUGUGUGUUUUUGUGUGUGUUCAAUAUUAGGGUUUGGCAGCAAAACGACUCUGUUUUGGUAAAAACACGAAUUCCGAAUGUGCGGCUUCCUUGGUUUCAUAUCUGUCUAAGAUGUAAACAACAUGACAUUGCUGUCUUCUUUUACUGCGCCAUAAAGAGAGGAUUUGAGGUCGAACUGGCUGUUUUGGUGGGUUUUUUUUUUUUUUUGGUACUGCUUGAAUCUGAGCUGAAGCAGAUUAAUAAUUAAAAGCCUCUAAUUUAAUCUCCCACUGACUUUUGUCCAAAUCCUCCGAGGCAAGUUCACUGAUUGAAAUCAUGAGUUUCCAUCAGAAAUGUCGACCAAAUGUUUAUAAGCAGGCCGUAACCAUGGUUACAUCACACCGCUUCUUCUUCUUCUUCUCAUUUUCACUAACUUUUAUUAUUUGGUAACGAUUUGUUUCAUGUAAAACAUUUCCCAAACAUUCCUGUCCGUGUUUGCUGUCGGAGAAUCCAUAUUCAUCCAAACAAAGCUGUUUGCUCAUCCAUGAUCUUCUGCUUUGCUGCACUGUUGUUGCACCUCUGAAGAAUGAGUCGACCGUGCGUUAGGUCGAGCGUGUUUAUCCAAAUCCCAGACGUAAACAACAGUGUGGGCUUCAGAUUUAAUCGGUGCCAGUCUGUUAUUGUUUCUCGCCCCUGGUGACAGAUGGUCCUUCUGUGAUAUGAUGAAUAUGGACACCAUUAAAAUCGACUGUAAUUUCUGGACUAUUGAGGCCACCUAAAUAUAGACCACACCCGCUAAAUUAAAAAA